rnacentral:rRNA from 1 species
UGCCAGCCGCUGCGGUAUGAUGGAGGGCGCAAGCGUUGUUAGGAAUCACUGGGCAUAAAGAGCACGUAGGCGGCCAAUUAAGUCAGAUGUGAAAGCCCUGGGCUUAACCCGGGAACUGCAUUUGAUACUGAUUGGCUUGAGGACAGCAGGGGUGAGUGGAACUCCAGGUGGAACGGUGAAAUGUGUAGAUAUCUGGAGGAACACCGGUGGCGAAAGCGGCUCACUGGGCUGUCUCUGACGCUGAGGUGCGAAAGCUAGGGUAGCGAACGGGAUUAGAUA